UCAUUUCAUAACACAAGUUGCUGAUAUAAACCUCUGCUAAAAUUUAGCCAAGUCGUUUUUGCUUAGGCUAAGAAAGUUAAGUCAGUGAUUCUCUUGUUCAAAGGUAAUUUUCGUAUAGAAAACUACCAUACAAAAGAAGCAGAAAACAAACUUUAAGCAUUUACCUUGGUAUAAUCGACUGUAGAAUGUUGACUUUUUAUAUUCUAAAGUGUACUUGUAACUUCUAGUGAACCAUUGAUGUAAAGCAAGACUUUCUGAGAGUUUUAAAAUCAGAAUGAAGUUUUCAUGUCUAAUAGUUACGGAGUAAAGUUAACCGAAAGCUCUAAUAUUUAUGUCAAAAAUCCAACUUUAAAUGGCUGUGAAAUAUGAAAAAAAAAAUGUCAAAGAACAUACGUCAUCAUUUGAGAUGUGGGAAAGUACGUGUACUUUUGAACGCAUGUUUUCAUAAAUUUUUUGAACUUACAGAAGUGUCUUUAAAGGUGAAAGAUACAAAUAUUCAUAAAGCAAAAAUGAUGAAAAUUUAGCUUUUAACUCGAAUUAAAAAUUACACAGUUAUGUCAAAUAUGUUAAUUAUAUCAAAAAUAUUUAAUAAUAAACGUAAUCAACUCUUGACAACGCAGAAAAAAUCCCAUUAAAAGAAUGAGAUAAAAAUAUUUGAUUCCCAGAAUCAUUUUAUAGUUGGAAAUCCCAUGUUGAAUAAUUCUUCAUUUCCAACCAGUGACUUAUGAAUAAAAAAACAAAAUCAAAAAAUAUGAACCCGGAAAGAAAACAAGAUAAAUAUGAAUUAAAAGUUAAACUUUUCAUGAAUGACAUAUAAAUUUAACUGAAUAUUAUUUUUAAACUGAAAGAUAAAAAAAUAGAGACAUUGUGUUGGAUUAUGUAAUUUACAAUUUUCCUUAAACAAACAUUAUUAAUAAAUCAAAAAAAAUUUAAUUUAUUCCACUCGGGAAAAAAUUAAAAUUGACAUUCAAAUAUUUUUUAACUAAAUUUCUGUUUCGUAACUUUGGAAAUAGAGUGGAAUAAAUUUCGCUAGCUAGAAUUAAAAAUUGCAGAUGGAAAUCAGAAAUUUAAAACACGUUAAUCAACAAAUUCAGUAUUAUAUUUCAUCCAUUCUUCACGAGUGGUCCUGCUUUUGUUGUAUUUGUUAUUCCUGAAGUUUAUUCUUUUUUAUCUAAAUUUAAUUCCCAAUGAUAUAAAUUCCACCUGUUUUUCCAUUCUAAAUAUAAUUGAUAGAUUUUUCUUUAAUUAAUACGGAAAAUCAGAGGAGGGUAAUCAGUUGAAAACACUAAAUUGAGGAAUUUUAUGAAAUAAACAAUAGCGAAUCCAAGAGAUAAUAUUCAUAUCAACUGAGUGCUAUGACUGGCAGAAAUAUAAUAUUAUAUAAUCAUUUACAUAGUGAAGAGUUUUUCUUUCUUCUAGAAAUAUGCGUGGAUUACAGGAACUUGAACUAAUUAAUUCAAUCUAAAAUUAACAAUUGAUUUAAAAAUUAUUAUGAUAGCAGAAUUCAAGGAUUCUGACAAAGUCAGCCAUAUGCUUUGCUAAUUUUUUAGCAGUUACUGAUAAGCUUUUUGUUGCUUUUGAAUACUAUUUUAUAUUAAAUUGUUAACUUAACAAAGUUAAAAAAAAAAAA